UUCAAACCCAGACGGAUGAUAAAUAUAAAAAGGAAAGCAACAAAGCUUUUGUAAGAAACCCUAAGAGAAUGUUUUCAUGAUGUUAGAAUAGACAAAACUCUUCAACAGGUCACAAAAAGUGCUAACCGUAAGGCAAAAAAUGAUCAGCUGGACUGCAUUAGAAUGAAGAGCUUCUGUUCAACAGAUGAGACCAUUAAGAGAGAAAAAACGCAGGCCAGAGAACAAAAGACAUGUUAUGACAUGGAGCAAUCUUCAGGAUGUGUUGGUAAAUGAGAAGGGGUGUUGCAGAGCAGCAUCACUAGAAUGAUAAAGAGAAACAUGCAGGGCCACCACCGGAAAUCACAGGAUGGCGCCCGUCUGCAUUUCAGCUCCUUUAAUAUCGUGGAUCCAUACCACCAAGGUGAAAAAACCUUCAAAUGAUUUUCUGAAGGAAAAUAUGCUUCUUGUUUUGAAGUGGGUAUUAACUGAAAGACGCAGACUGAAAACCUAAACUGAUAAUGUUGCCGCGUGGGAUCGUCCAUGACAGCCGCCUCGGUCAGCCAUGUCCCCACCAGAUCUGAUCAAACAUUCACUCGGCACACAAGCUGGUUACACACCAGAGCUCCCUUAAGCAGGACCUUAACACAGCCCAGCAUCGUCAACCCAUAAGGAAGAUGCCCCCACCCGAUAUUUGACAAACUGCUGGAUGCGUCACCCGCUACCUGACUCUACAGAUAAACAUCUGAUUGCGCUGCUGAUGAAUACUACAAAUGGACAUUUCUCUAAAUACAGACCUUUCUGGUACCUCAGCUAUCUCAACCUUAUUAUUCUGGAUCCAAUGUGGGGCCGCAACUGGACUCUGACAAUGCAAGAGCAAAUGCCCUCCUAGGUGUCAACUUGUUCCUGUUGGAGAUAGGGACAACUGGAACAUCUGAACAAAGGGACAUGGGAGCCCAACACUGGGGCCAUUUUGACCUCAGUAGUGAAAGACUUUCCUCCCUUACACUUGGCCCCACCUUACACAGACUUUUCAAUUCUACUCAAGGACCUUGCACACUGGGAGUGACUUCUGGCUGGUAGACCCCCAUGGUAGCAAUGACUUACACUCUCAGUGCUGUGCGUGCCCCUUUGGAGUGUUAUUUGUUUUGUAAAAACAGGCCUUCACUUGCCUUCCUCUUAGCAAUGUAAUGCAUAUAGAUGGGGCUUUAAUAAGAGACUUCCAAAUAUUCAAAACAGUCCCCACCCAUUUGUCAUGUCACGCUACACCGGGUAGGAUGGGAAAUAGGAAACCAGGGGGACCCCAGUUCCUCAGGAGAACUGCCAGGGGGCAUUACCAACUCCAGGGAAUUAUUUCCACUGUCAAGUUCUUUUGGUUAGAAAGGGUUGUGUGCAACCUGACUUUGACCCUUGCUGAAGUAUGAAUACUUGCAUGAAGUAUUCAUGGCAAUACUUCGGCUUUGGAGAAACAACAGACCAACCUUAAGUCCUUGGCCCAAGCAGUGUUGGACACCUGCAUAGCCCUCGACUUCCUGCAACCAGCCACGUUGGCAUCCAUGUGAUUGCUGACACUUGCAUGGCACCUGGAUCAAUGAGACUGGCAAAGUAAAACAAUCCAUCACCAGGCUUAGGUAAACAGCCUCUUGGAUCUCUAAAGUAGACCUGUAUGGACUAUCAGACAUCUUUUCCUGACCUGGCAAUCAUUGGGGCUCAUGGUUAUGUUCAAUCUUCCAUGCUGGUCUAAUCAUCCUACUAUAGACUGUGACCUCAGACUAAUUACCUGAUUCUUGACAGUCUCUCAAAGUCUGAUUCAUUCAGUUCCAUGAUAGGAUUUCUCCUUUGGGCUCUGAAAAAGCAAACAAUGGAGUUGAGACUCUGGCUCCAGGCCAGAAUCUUAUGUGUAACCAACCUUUCAGGCCCAGCCACAGGCAAUUCCAAAGGCUUUACCUGGCCUACUUCACAGGUAAGCUGCCCUUUCCACAUCAGAUAUACAUGUUAAAGUGACUUGUUAAGUUGUCUAACUUAUUAAAUUGUCCAGGCCCUCCAGUAUAGUGUGGAACAACGCAUUAUUAAUAACAGACAAUUUUAUCAUGUUUUUGAGUUUAAUGAGAAUAUUUACAAAGUUUGCCUAAUAAGUAUGAUUUUUGAUUUCGGUUUCUGGUAGAUAUUUUUAUCAAGCUGAAGACUCUUCCUUCCAUUAACUCCCCAGCAUUUUUUUUAAAAAAUCAGGAAGGAGUGUUAAGUUAUAAAAUAAUUUUUCCAUAAUCUUUUGAGAUGAUUAUAGGAUUUCUUAAAAGUAAUCUGUCUCAGUUUCUCAGAAGUAAAUUGCUUGAAUUGUUCUUGUGGAUUCAGGGUUAUGUGCACCUCACCAAAUUAGCCAGGAAAUGUCUUUUUCUAUGUUCUGUAACUGCUUCAGUAACAGAAAUUUUCUUGUGUAUAAAUUGACAGUUCCACCUAUUUUUGUCACUUAUUAAGUGGAUAUGGGGUUUGGUCUUUUUAUGUAUAUAAAUUCUUGAUAUCGAUUUCUUAAACUUUGAUUUAUUUCCUUUAUCAUAUAUAUUUUUCCAAUUCUGUUGUUUUCUUUUGCUUUAUUUGUAAGAGAGAGUGAGAAUGUGUGUUUUUAAUUUCUUGGAUAUUCAAAUGUAUCUAUUUUAUUUCCAGUAUUCAUCUCGAUUUGGUCAAUAGUGAGGUAUACCAAAAUGUUUCAUCUUUAAAAAAAAAUUUCUUUCUAUAUUCCUCUGUCAGUUUCUCAAACUGCUUUUAGCCUGAAUAGGUCUUUCUCACAUAGAGGUAAGAAAUUCAAUAAAUGUGUUUGUUUUAUUUGUUCUUUAUUUUAAAUUUAAAUGUCUGACCCAAUGAAUUAAUUUUGUCGAACAAUGGAACGUGAAGUUCUAACAUGAGUUUUUGUCCAAGUGGUUAACCAGUUUUCCCAGCAGCACUUAUUUAACAUUCCCAAAUUCAUUGUUGAUUUGUAAGACCCCCUUUGCCUGUGUCAUAUGUCUGUGUAUUAGGGACAAUUUCUGGGCUCUCUGCUCUGUUCCACUUUUCUGUUCAUGUGUUUCUCUCAGCAAAUGUACACCUUAAUUAUUACAAAUGUAUAUUUUAUCUGGUCAACAGAGAUUGGAAAACUAAUUGUUUUUUUCCUGUAUUCUUUCCGACCGCCCCCCGCCGCUUUACAUGGCCAGCAUAAGCUGUUUCACCAGGUAAAAUAAAAGAAAUAAAAGAAAAUGAGAGAUAGUGAAUGGGUCUUAAAAUUCUUUGUUCUUGAAGAAUUUUAAGAAGGGCAAGAGUAUUUCUGGGUCAGAUCUACAUCCCUGAAUUUCUUCGAUUUGUUUGGCUUAUGAGACAUCGAAGGUCUAGGCCUUCCCUCCUGUAUGCUAGAAAUGGCCUGUCUUCAAUAACAUGGGUACUUCAAAAAUAUCUAUGAAAUAAUUUGAGAAUGCUUAUUUAUAAACUCAUCUCUCAGAAGGGCAUGAGGGACAGGUGAACAGGUAACUAAAAGGGAUUAAAAGUCCCCCGAAUGCUCUAAGACUAGAGUCUCACUGGUAUUGGAAAGAAGGGCAGAGAAAGAGCCAGGUUUCCUGAGCUUGGUUUCAUUCAUCAACAGAUAAGUGCUAUGCCAGGUUGUAUCUGAAGCCACCAGGAAUAGGGUCAAAAGCUUCACAAUUCCGCUGCAGUGGGAGCUUCUCAAGAGCAAGCUCACAGACAAUGGGGUAGUGAUUGCCCAUCACCAGUGACACCUGAACUGGGAGGAUUCUCUUGCUUGAAAAGGGUGGAAAAGUCAGAGGGGAAGGGAAACUGAAAGAAGUGAUCACUGAGAGAAAAGCCAGUCAACCCAAAGCACAAUCAGCCCAAGGGACCAGAGAAUUAAGGCGGAAACAUAUUAGAAAAGUAAGCUGAUAGGUAUCUAUGAACUCUUAAAAAGAUUUGUUAUUAUAUCAAAAAGUAAAAGUUCAGGCAACAAAAUAUAGAAAUUAGAUGAAGGUACUUAAUAGUUGAAGAAAAAUGCAUUUCAGAAGAGUAAAGAGAAUACAAGUUUAGCGCCUCCUGUGCUGGGAGUGAGAGUGACUACUCCUUAAAAUCAUCUCAUCAAAAAAAAAAAAAAAAAAUCAGAAACUUUAAGUGACGUCCCACAUAUUCAAGGCAUAUUUCUUCAAAUAGACCAAGUUCUCUGUUUGUCCCCAAAGAUGCCCCAAGUCUUCUCAGGGCUCUUUUCUAUAGCACCUCAACUGUAGCUCAGCUUUUGGUCCCUGAUAAAAUCGUGCUGUUGUACCUAGCUUUUUCUCUUUUGACCCCUGUUAUUUUUUGUCCCAACUUGGAAUACUUUCUCCGUUUGAUACUCCAAAGUGCGAAUCCGCACAAUGCUGUCCAUUUCCUCCAGGAAACCCACCCUGACCACACCAUCUUUUGUCCAAAUUCUUCUUACAUAGUUAGUCAGGACCCCACAGCUGAUCUCCCUUUGCCCGCAGGCUGUUCCCAAAGUUUUUGUCCAAGUUGUUUGAUAAGAAUACAAAAUACCUCUUUCCACUAUUGCCCAGGCUAGCCUUUCAACUCGAGUGAUUCCUGACAUCAAAGGCCGUUGCUUAAUUAUCGUACAAAGCUGGCCCACAGGCGGCACUGGCACAGAACCAAAACUACUACUUUCAACUCUUAACUUCUGUCUUUCUGAGCCAGGAUGAAGCCAGAGAUAGAACGAUUGUAAACUAAUCACUUUACGAACUGGCAUGCUUUCUUGGUGAAAGAAUGUACUUGGUAAAAGAAAUGAGACCCCUGGUAUGGAGAAGAAAAAAGGAAAUGAAAAAACUGUCUAAAAAAUCAAAGCGAUUCAAGCUGUACAUUUACGACUCUUGUGCAUUCUUCAGUACUUAUGUACUAUUUCAAUUAAAAGGUUACACACACAAAAAAAACCAAUAUGACUCUUUCAGUCUCCUGACUUUCUGUUUUUCCUCCUAGGCCUUUCUAGAUAUUUUAAUAAAGAUAGAGAAAAGGAUCCUACCAGAGAAAAGAAAGCUAUACAUAUUGAGAAGACUUUAAAUGAUUAAGAAUCUGAUGAAGAAAGUCAAAGACUCCAAAGAUUUAAGUAGAGGAUAGAAAUAACUGACACCUUUUCAGCUAAAUUUACUUUUCCAUUGAAAAAUCAUGUCACAACAUUCUUCUUGUCUGCUUUGUGUCCUUUUUUGUAUUUUAAUUCAGAGGGAAGAACAUGCCCUGAGAGAAAUCUACACGAGCUUCCAUGCUUUAUUUACCAUCUUCAUCCCUCACCUCUACACCCAUAUUUCACCAUUCACUUCUUAAUAGCCAUGCCUUACAGAAGAGAAGUUCAGGACCUGUUUUUGGUUUGUUUGUUUGUUUAUUUGUUUGUUUGUUUGUUUUCUAUGGAGGAAAGUUUGGGGUUGUUGAAAAAGCCAAGGCCCAUCAGUGUAAUUUAGGUUAGUUGCAAAUAGGCAUGUCUCCCCUCCAACUUGGGGGCUUGCUAAAUUCCUUCAGCUGUCAAAUAAUUAAAACAAAGAGUUUGUUUGUUACAAGUGUCUUAAAUCUGCUCCAGAUUAUUUGCAUUUAUUAAUCGAAUAUGCUGGUUCAAAAUAUAUCUCAAAAUGACCUCAAUUAAAAAAACAAUCUGCCAUUUGAGUCUGAGGCCUUUUGACUACAGUAUAUAUUUCUUCUCUGGCCCUCCUCCCAAAUAAGGACGGGGGUCUCCCUCACCUCCCUGGGACCUCAGCUCCCCACCCAUCUGCCUGCACCACCUGUGCAUGUUUCAGCCAAAUCAGACAGUCACUAUUCUUGACUAGGAAUCCUGUCUAGGUUCCUGUCUCUCUCCCACCCACAACAAUUAAACCUUAACAACCUUUAUUCAAAACUUUUAUCAUUAAAGUUUUUUCUUAAAAAAAAAAAAAAGAAAUAAAAGCAUUAUAUACCUCAAAUGAUUUCAAAAAUGUCAAAAAGAAGAAUAAGAAAUAUGAAGUUCAGCAGUAAGGCCUUUAUCCAUAGGCAUCGUCCUUAGGUAUAUGUGUAUUGUAAAAACUAAUGGAUCAUAAUGCGUAUGGAGUCUUACGUCAAUUUUCUCCCCGAAUUUCACUCCAGCCUCCUUUCCCUCUACCUCCUUUAAAGACUAACCCUGCGCAGAGUCCAUUUUGCCAGCUUCUUCCUUCUCGCCUCACCUGCGCUGGCCUCAUCUGCUCGACUGGAGCAGAGAGGAUUUUUGAAUCGAAUUUUCAAAUGUUGACUUGCUGCCCUCUGGUGAGUUUAUUAAACAUUUAUCUCACAUGUAGAGGAAUUUGCUCUGGCAAUGACCACUGACAUAAAAUACCUGUGGUUUUGAGGUAUAAAUCUUCCUCUGGGUAAUAGGAUAUCUGAUUUCAUCUGGCUAGGAAGUUAUUAUUAGCCUAGACAACAGGAAAAUGUCUGGAAAAUAUCCAUUAUUUGGAAACUAAAUAACAUACUUCUAAAUAAUCCAUGGGUCAAAAAAAAAAAAUCAAAAGGAAAUUAGGUAGUAUUCUGAAUUGAAUUAAAAUGAAAACAAAA